AGCACGCUAUGCUAAUACAAAUUGCAGGCUGAGAUGUUAGAUUGUUACUGCUAAUACUGCAUCUUUGCUUAUAAUUGACGAUGCAGGUGUAAAGUUGAAUUGAGCUUAGUUGUUAGGGAUAAACAUUAUAGUAAUGUUAGGGAAUCAAUUGUGUAAACUUAAGUUAAAAGUUUGUUAUGCUAAUUUGAAUUGAGGUGUUAUUUCUAUUGUAAAAAGGAGUUAGAACUAUUAGAGUUAUU
rnacentral:lncRNA from 1 species